rnacentral:tRNA from 1 species
CUAUGGGAAGCUAAAUUAUUGGACAAAGCGCUGGCCUUUUAAGCCAGAGACUGGUGACUUCCGACCACCCCCAAUGAA